GACUCUGACACAAAGAAUGUCUUCAUCGUAGAGGGGUAGAGGGGAGCGGUUGUUGAAGGGGGUGUCUUUUGAAAACCAAGAGCAGGAUCCAUCUGUGCUUUUGUUGGCUCUAUCGCAGUUGCAUGAAGGCCUGCAAUUACCCAACUGAAUCCGCCUCCAGCCUAGGUAGUUGAUGGUGCUUUUGACUUCCAUUAGAUCAUCUGAAAGAUACCCUUGUCACUGGAUUUCUUACUUCUUCCAGUAGAACUUUACAAAAACUGCCUACAAAGGCAGAGCUGUAUAUGUGCAAUCUACUGAUGCUGUUCCAAUCAGAAGACAACACGUCUUGCUGAUGAUUCAUGCAAUAGAGGAACUAAGAAGAAUCCUUUGCCUCCUUCCCCUCAGUUACUUUUGAGACCACAAAAAGUCUGCAUUAUGCAAGGUAAAAAUGACCUAUUAAAAGCACUGGAGUUAGAAGAAUUCUACCAUUUUUCAAACCAUGAAUGCACAAUUUUUUGUCAUAUGAAGUUAUGCACUGAAAGGAAACUCAUUUUUAAGAUUAUGAGAAAGACAACUUUUUAAUUUUGAAAGCCAGUAAAAUGGGAUUUCCUUAAAAACUCCUUAAAAGACAACUUUUUAAUUUUGAAAGCUAGUAAAAUGGAAUUUCCUUAAAAGAUCUAUGCAGUGUGGGGAAGAAUUAUGUGAUUAGCUGUAUUUGUUUUGUAUCAUCAUUCCUUUGCCAGCUCCACAAAACAAUCUUUAAAAAUAAGUGCGUAGUAAUAAAUAGGAAUGGAAAUGAUUUUAGAUUUUUUUUUUUUUUUUGGUAGUGUUCAAAGGCACCUCAAAGGAUGUGGCAUUUCCUCUGCUUAGGAAGCUCUUUAUCCUGAAACUCUCGAUGGAGAAGAUAAGAAGAAAAUAGAAAGAAAGAUCUCAGCACAACAAAACUCAAAAGAUAGGACAUUUAGAACUUCUCAUGUACAACUGAAACCAGAUCUGGAAGUUUUAGUUACAGGUGUAUAUAUGUAAUACAUUUAUAAAGCAGUAACUCAGAAUCUCUAGUCUACAGUAUAUCUUCAUCUAUAUUACCCUUGAGACUGAGUUUUUGUUUGGCCGCAAAUGGAAUUUUAACUUUGCAGAGGGCUUUCAGUUAGCAGAUAUUCAGUGUGGUAUCAAGAAUCUACACAUCAACUAGAUUGUAGAAAGCUGAGGAGAGUCUAAAAGAAUGGAGGGAGGUCUGUCAUUGCUUUUGCCUCCAGUCUUGGAUUCAUAAACAUCAUCAUUAAGCAUCAUUCCUCCCUUGCUGGGUGACCAUCCACCAGCCAGUCAUCCCAGCUCAAUCCUGGAGCUUCAUCUGUGAAAAAGAAUAAUAUGUUCGUUUUACCACAGUGAUGUGGGGCACGGAGCUGGCAUUUUUUUUGACCCACUUACCAAACUGCAAGAAUCUAGGCUGAAUAAAUAAUAACUGGUUUUGUUGGUA
rnacentral:lncRNA from 1 species